GGGAGCCGUGUGCUGGGAAACCCGCAAGCACGGUUCUAACAGAGAGGGGCGAUGGGUAAUACCAUCCCUCGACUCUAC
rnacentral:ncRNA from 1 species